GCAGGGAUGGUCUAGUUGGUUAUGACGCGGCCUUAACACGGCUGAGGUCGGGGGUUCGACUCCCCCUUCUUGUA